rnacentral:rRNA from 1 species
GACGAACGCUGGCGGCGCGCCUAACACAUGCAAGUCGAACGAGCGGGAGGAGGUUUACUUUCUCAAGCGAGUGGCGAACGGGUGAGUAACGCGUGAGGAACCUGCCUCAAAGAGGGGGACAACAGUUGGAAACGACUGCUAAUACCGCAUAAGCCCACGACCCGGCAUCGGGUAGAGGGAAAAGGAGCAAUCCGCUUUGAGAUGGCCUCGCGUCCGAUUAGCUAGUUGGUGAGGUAAUGGCCCACCAAGGCGACGAUCGGUAGCCGGACUGAGAGGUUGAACGGCCACAUUGGGACUGAGACACGGCCCAGACUCCUACGGGAGGCAGCAGUGGGGAAUAUUGCACAAUGGGGGAAACCCUGAUGCAGCGACGCCGCGUGGAGGAAGAAGGUCUUCGGAUUGUAAACUCCUGUUGUUGAGGAAGAUAAUGACGGUACUCAACAAGGAAGUGACGGCUAACUACGUG